CCUUAGUCUGCUGUCUCCCUCGGAGCUGCCGGUCCUCAUCUCUGAGCUUGCAGACUCGCAGAUUGCAUCCUGAGUGAGAAGAGGCUGGACUCGGAGUUGUCGCCUUGAGCCUUGCUUCUGAGAACUUCCAGGUACUUUGUAUAACCACUGUCACAGAAGCUGUGUGUUUUCAGCACCUUUGUAAGCGAUGGCUGCUAUCAGGAAGAAACUGGUAAAUGUUGGUGAUGGAGCUUGCAGUAAGACAUGCUUGCUCAUAGUCUUCAGCAAGGACCAAUUCCCAGAGGUUUAUGUGCUCGCAGUGUUUGAAAACUAUGUGGCAGAUAUCCAAGUGGAUGGAAAGCAGGUGGAGUUGGCUUUGUGGGACACAGGAAGAUUAUCAUCGCCUGAGGCCUCUCUCCUACCCAGACACUGACGUUAUACUGAUGUGUUUCUCCAUCGACAGCCUUGAUAGUUUAGAAAACAUCCCAGAAAAAUGGACUCCUGAAGUCAAGCAUUUCUGUCCCAAUGUGCCCAUCAUCCUGGUUGGGAACAAGAAGGAUCUUCGGAAUGAUGAGCACAAAAGACAAGAGUUAGCCAAAAUGAAGCAGGAGCCGGUAAAACCUGAAGAAGACAGAGAUACGGCAAACAGGACAGGCGCUUUGGGGUACAUGGAGUGUCCAGCAAAGACCAAACAUGGAGUGAGAGAGGCGUUUGAAAUGGUCACGAGAGCUGCUCUGCAAGCCAGAUGUGGGAAGAAAAAAUCUGGGUGCCUCAUUUUGUGAAGCCUUGUGCAAGCACAGCCCUCGUGCGGUUAAUUUUGAAGUGCUGUUUAUUAAUCUUAGUGUAUGAUUACUGGCCUUUUCAUUUAUCUAUAAUUUACCUAAGAUUACAAAUCAGAAGUCAUCUUGCUACCAGUAUUUAGAAGCGAACCAUGACUAUUAAUGAUAUCCAACCUGUCUGCCU